AGCAGCCGCCGCGGGAAUACGUAGGGUGCAAGCGUUAAUCGGAAUUACUGGGCGUAAAGCGUGCGCAGGCGGUUAUAUAAGACAGAUGUGAAAUCCCCGGGCUCAACCUGGGAACUGCAUUUGUGACUGUAUAGCUAGAGUACGGCAGAGGGGGAUGGAAUUCCGCGUGUAGCAGUGAAAUGCGUAGAUAUGCGGAGGAACACCGAUGGCGAAGGCAAUCCCCUGGGCCUGUACUGACGCUCAUGCACGAAAGCGUGGGGAGCAAACAGGAUUAGAUACCCGUGUAGUCCCUGUCUCUUAUAC
rnacentral:rRNA from 1 species